UACAGAGGUCUCAAGCGUUGUUCGGAUUCAUUGGGCGUAAAGCGCACGUAGGCGGCUCGUUAAGUCGGAUGUGAAAGCCCUCGGCUCAACCGAGGAAGUGCAUACGAAACUGGCGAGCUUGAAUAUGGAAGAGGGUCGCGGAAUUCCCGGUGUAGAGGUGAAAUUCGUAGAUAUUGGGAAGAACACCGGUGGCGAAGGCGGCGCUCUGGACCGAGACUGACGCUGAGGCGCGAAAGCGUGGGGAGCAAACAGG
rnacentral:rRNA from 1 species